rnacentral:rRNA from 1 species
UACAGAGGUGGCAAGCGUUGUUCGGAAUGACUGGGCGUAAAGGGCGCGUAGGCGGCCUUCUAAGUCAGACGUGAAAUCCCCCGGCUUAACCUGGGAACUGCGUCUGAUACUGGGAGGCUAGAGUGCGGGAGAGGGAUGCGGAAUUCCAGGUGUAGCGGUGAAAUGCGUAGAUAUCUGGAGGAACACCGGUGGCGAAGGCGGCAUCCUGGACCGACACUGACGCUGAGGCGCGAAAGCUAGGGGAGCAAACGGG